GACGAACGCUGGCGGCGUGCUUAACACAUGCAAGUCGAACGGAAAGGCCUUUUCGGCGGUACUCGAGUGGCGAACGGGUGAGUAACACGUGGGUGAUCUGCCCUGCACUCUGUGAUAAGCCUGGGAAACUGGGUCUAAUACCGGAUAGGACCGCACUUUAGUGUGUGUGGUGGCAAGUUUUUUCGGUGUAGGAUGAGCCGGCGGCCUAUCAGCUUGUUGUUGGGGUAAUGGCCUACCAAGGCGGCGACGGGUAGCCGGACUGAGAGGUUGGUCGGCGACAUUGGGACUGAGGUACGGCCCAGACGCCGACGGGAGGCAGCAGUGGGGAAUAUUGAACAAUGGGCGCAAGCCGGAUGCAGAGACGCCGCGGGGGGGAGGACGGCCUUCGGGUUGUAAACUCCUUUCGCCAGGGACGAAGCGUUUUGUGACGGUACCUGGAGAAGAAGCACCGGCUAACUACGUG
rnacentral:rRNA from 1 species